GACGAACGCUGGCGGCGUGCCUAAUACAUGCAAGUCGAACGCAGUGGGGCCGGGUGAGUAACACGUGGGUAACCUCCCAUCAGAGGGGAUAACACUUGGAAACAGGUGCUAAACCGAUACUGAUGGAUGGACCCGCGGUGCAUUAGCUAGUUGGUGAGGUAACGGCUCACAAAGGCCACGAUGCGUAGCGGUCCGGAGGGGGUGAUCGUCCACACGGGGACUGAGACACGGCCCAGACUCCUAGGGGAGGCAGCAUGGGGGAAUCUUCGGCAAUGGACGAAAGUCUGACCGAGCAACGCGGCGUGGGUGAAGAAGGUUUUCGGAUCGUAAAACUCUGUUGUUAGAGAAGCGGUAUCUAACCAGAAAGCCACGGCUAAUUACGUGCCAGCCGCCGCGGUAUAC
rnacentral:rRNA from 1 species